rnacentral:rRNA from 1 species
AGCGAACGCUGGCGGCAGGCCUAACACAUGCAAGUCGAACGAACCCUUCGGGGUUAGUGGCGGACGGGUGAGUAACACGUGGGAACGUGCCUUUAGGUUCGGAAUAACUCAGGGAAACUUGUGCUAAUACCGAAUGUGCCCUUCGGGGGAAAGAUUUAUCGCCUUUAGAGCGGCCCGCGUCUGAUUAGCUAGUUGGUGAGGUAAUGGCUCACCAAGGCUACGAUCAGUAGCUGGUCUGAGAGGAUGACCAGCCACAUUGGGACUGAGACACGGGCCAAACUCCUACGGGAGGCAGCAGUGGGGAAUCUUGCGCAAUGGGCGAAAGCCUGACGCAGCCAUGCCGCGUGGAUGAUGAAGGUCUUAGGGUUGUAAAAUCCUUUCACCGGUGAAGAUAAUGACUGUAGCCGGAGAAGAAGCCCCGGCUAACUUCGUGCCAGCCGCCGCAGUAACAC